UACGUAGGGUGCAAGCGUUGUCCGGAAUUAUUGGGCGUAAAGAGCUCGUAGGCGGUCUGUCGCGUCGGCUGUGAAAACUUGGGGCUCAACCCCAAGCCUGCAGUCGAUACGGGCAGACUAGAGUCCGGCAGGGGAGACUGGAAUUCCUGGUGUAGCGGUGAAAUGCGCAGAUAUCAGGAGGAACACCGGUGGCGAAGGCGGUUCUCUGGGCAUGUCCUGACGCUGAGGAGCGAAAGUGUGGGGAGCGAACAGG
rnacentral:rRNA from 1 species